rnacentral:rRNA from 1 species
ACCUUCUUCCAUACCUGAAGCUUUAGGCCGCUAUCGCUUACCCGUGUCUUUUGAGGACCUUACUUUUCCUCGGUGGGUCCACCCGCCGAUUGCACCAAUUUCAACCCUUUGCCGGUGAAAUCUUCGUCUGAAAUUCCUUAGUAGAUACACCUUUCACCCCCGGAUCACUUGGUUCGGGCAUCGAUGAUCAACGCAGGAACCGCAAUAAUACCGUGAAUUGCAAAAUUCGUUGAAUCAUCCAAUCUUUGAACGCACUUUGCGCCCCUUGGCAUUCAUUGGGGCAUGCCUGUUCAAGCGUCAUUGUACCUUCACAUAUGCUUGGUGUUGGGUGUUUGUCUCCUGUAUACUCGCCUUAAAAUUUUGGUGCCCGGGGUAUUGAUUUCGGAGCGCAGUGGGCCUCCCCCUUUGCACUCAUAACGACAACAUCCAAACAUACUUUUUUACACUCUUGGCCUCGGAUCAGGUAUGGAUACCCGAUCUAUCUUAAAUUAUCAAUAGGGGAAAAGAAAUCAUUACUAGAGUUGUAGGCUUUGCCUGCUAUCUCUUACCCAUGUCUUUUGAGUACUUACGUUUCCUCGGUGGGUUCGCCCACCGAUUGGACAAAUUUAACCCUUUGCAGUUGAAAUCAGCGUCUGAAAAAACUUAAUAGUUAAACUUUCACAACGGAUCUCUUGGGUUCUGGCAUCGAUGAAGAACGCAGCGAAAUGCGAUAAGUAGUGUGAAAUGCGAAAUUCGUGAAAUC